ACUAUUUUUAAUUUUUAUUAUUAGAUUAGCCAAUUCCUUGAUUUAAGCUAGAUUUGAAAAUGUUAUUUUUAAAUUUUAUUAAAAUGCCUGAAGUCAAUUAUAAAAUUUGAUAAAAUCUGGAAUAAUUUUUGACUAGAAAGGCCCUUCCUGUCUCCCCCAGAUGUUACAACUACAGAGUGAUCAAAACCUCUGGCACAUCAUUCCAAGUUGAGAAUAAAACUUUUGGACUGGCUUUAGUGUUCUCCAAAUUAUGUUGGCCUUGGGAACAUGCAACAAGAACCCUCUUGACUUGUUUUGGACUUAAACACUUAGGAACUCAACUAUUUUAAAAGCUUCUGGAAUGGUAAUGCUGGGAGUCCAGAUAGCAGAAAAAUUCAAGGGGCAGGAGAAAUUAUAGUGUCCUUCACUGGGAAACACACACGCCAUGUGCUGAUGUUGGGGUUGAUGUCAAUUCUAACACUGACAAUGCAUUCCCAAGGUUUUUGCUGCACCCACCAGAAGAGCAGGACCCAGACCAGUUUUUGAUCAGUAGGCUGCAAAUAAGACAUCCAGGGAAGGAAUGUUUUGGUCUUUUAGUGAGUGACUAAAAGGAACAAGACCAAAUCUGCUGUCAAUGCAGCCAAGGGAAACUGGGUGCAAGAACUGGGUGCAAACUGGGUUUGCCUAUUUUAACCACACAGGCUCUUGGAGUGGCAGCUUCCCCCACAAACUCUUCCCUGGGACACCCCAGGAACAGCUCACCCCACAGGAUCCAGAGAAACACUUCAAGCCUGGUCAUCCUAGGGGCCGAAAACUUGUAAUUCCAUCAAGUUUUACGGCGUGAACUUGAACAGGAAUCCUGUCCUCCAGGACCUUCACAAAGUUGCUCUGCAUGCUCCAAGAUCAACAGAUGGGAUCCACAUCCUAUUACAAAUUUCCAAAUUUGUCUGUGGAACUUGUGUGGGCAAGAUCCAUCACUUAGGAGGAGGUGAGAGAUCAUGAAAACAGCUCCCACCAGGAGAAAAUAAAUAAAAGACAA